CCUACGGGAGGCAGCAGUGGGGAAUAUUGGACAAUGGGGGGAACCCUGAUCCAGCGACGCCGCGUGAGUGAAGAAGUAUUUCGGUAUGUAAAGCUCUAUCAGCAGGGAAGAAAAUGACGGUACCUGACUAAGAAGCCCCGGCUAACUACGUGCCAGCAGCCGCGGUAAUACGUAGGGGGCAAGCGUUAUCCGGAUUUACUGGGUGUAAAGGGAGCGUAGACGGUGCAGCAAGUCUGAUGUGAAAGGUCGGGGCCCAACCCCGGGACUGCAUUGGAAACUGUUGAACUGGAGUACAGGAGAGGUAAGCGGAAUUCCUAGUGUAGCGGUGAAAUGCGUAGAUAUUAGGAGGAACACCAGUGGCGAAGGCGGCUUACUGGACUGUAACUGACGUUGAGGCUCGAAAGCGUGGGGAGCAAACAGGAUUAGAUACCCCAGUAGUC
rnacentral:rRNA from 1 species